GCUUGGGCGGGGAGGGCGCGGCCCUGCAGGUUCCUGUACAUGACCACGGCAGGGGGCUGCGGGUCCUGAAGGCUGGGCCUGGUCGAGGACCCACUAGGUCUCGCAGAAGGAGUGGGUUAGGAUAAUCAUAGCAUUAAUGGGAGUAUUGAGAGAGCACCCUGGGGCGUUGGGUCCCUCGGGAAGAAAAGCCUCUGCUGUCGCCACUGGAGUGGUACCCAGGUCGUCCCGGCUUAGGUCCAGGAGGUUCCCAUGCUCGGAGGGUCUGGUGGGCAGAACAGAACCGGCGGUGCGCACGCCCUCUCGCGGCCUUGCGCCGAAUCGCUGAGGUUCAGUGUCAGGUGAUUCUAAGCCAUGGUUUUGGAACUCAAUAGUGAAGCAGAGCAAAUAAAUGAUGCAGUGCCUUGAUGGGACCGGUGGAGACAACAAGAAGCAAAGCACAGCUGAAACUUCAAAAUUCCGCUGAGUGUUAGUAGGAUUUGGAGGGAGAAAAUAGACGGAGAGUCGAGAGGCCCAGAGAUGCAGAAGGGUUAGAGGAUUAGGGGUUAGGGUUUGGUGUUAGGGGUUCAGGUUGGGGGGUUAGAGGUUUGGGAGUUAGGUUUAGGGGUAUAGGUUUUAGGUGGCUGGGGGUUGGGGUUAGGGCUGGGGUUACUAGGCUAGGGCACAAGUGGUUUAGGGUUAUGGUUAGGGUUAGAGUGAGGCUGAGGUUGAUUCCCAGUCUUGUGUACCGUCUCUUCCUUCACCAGAGUUACCACAUAUCUGUCGUUUGGUUGGAAACCCUGAUGGCAUAGUGGUUAAGACCCACCAGUGCUAACCAAAGGUCUGCAGUUCGAAUCCACCAAGCGCUCCUUGGAAACUCUAUGGGGCAGUUCUAAUCUGUCCUAUAGGGUCUCUAUGAGCUGGAAUCGACUCGACGGCGGUGGGUUUGUUUUUUUUGGUUAUUGUUUAGUUAGCUUUUCUCUACCCACUCUCCGUCUGCCUGGUGAACAUCAAGGAUUGUUUCUGUGUGUAAAUGUUUUCAUGAGUUUUUAUGAUAGUGGUCUCUUAGUGUAUAUGUCGUUUUGUGAUUGACUUAGUCAGCAUGAUGCGCUCCAGAUUCAUCCAUGGUGUGAGAUGUUUCGGAGAUUCAUCAUUGGUCUUCAUUGUCGUGUAGUGUUCCACUGUGUGUAUGUACCGUAGUUUGUUUAUCCAUUCCUCUGUGGACGAGCACUGAGGUUGUUUCCAUCUUUUUGCUACUGUGAAUAAUAUCUCAGUGAACACGGGUGUGCAUAUGUCUAUUCCUGUGACUGCUCAUGGAAACCCUGGUGGCUAGUGGUUAAGUGCUACAGCUGCUAACAAAAAGGGUUAGGGUUUGAGGUUCGGGAUGUUAGGGUUAGGGUUGUUAGAGUUCUGGUUGUUAGGGUUUGGGUUUAGGGGUUGGGGUUAGGGUUUUGGGGUUAGGGAUGUUAGGGUUAGGGUUGUUAGGGUUUGGGUUAGGGUUUUUCGGUUGGGGUUAGGUGUUAGGCUUAGGUUUAGGGUUUGAGGUUAGAGUUUGGAUUUACAGGUUAGGUGUUAGGGGUUGCAGUUUGGGGUUUACAGUUUUGGGGGUUUAGGGUUUUGGGGUUUAGUCAUUAGGGUUUGGGUUAGGUUUUAGGGGUCAGGAUUUAGAUUUAGGGUUGGGGUUGGUGUUGGGUUUGUUUGGGAUAUGUGGUUUGGGGUAAGAGGGUGGGUGUUAGAGGUUUGGGGGUUAGAGAUUGAGGGAGUUAGAGGGUGAGGGGUUAGAGGGUGAGGGGGUUAGAGGUUGAGAAGAUUAUAGAGUGAGGGAGUGAGAAGGUGAGGGUGUGAGGGGGUGAAGGUUAGGGUUUAGGGUUAGAGGGUUUAGGCUUAGGGUUCAGAGGCUUAGGGUUGGGGGUUAGGGUUUCAGAGUUCAGAGGUUGGGGUUGGUGUUGUGGUUAGGGUUAGAGAGUUAGGGUUAGAGGGUUAGGGUUGGAGGUUUAGGGUUAGAAGAUUAGGGGUAUGGUUUAGAGGUUUAGGGUUAGGGGUUAGGGCUAGGGUUUAGGGGUUCAGGUUUAGGGGUGUGGGAUGGGUCUGGGGUAAGGUUUUAGAGUUUAGGGUUAGAGGGUUAUGUUUAGGGCUUAAGGCUUAGAGUUUAGGGUUUUAGGACUUAAGGUUUAGGGCUUAGGGCUUAGAGCCUAGGGUUUAGGACUUAAGGUUUAGGGUUUAAGGCUUAGAGUGAGGGUUAGGGCUGGGGGCUGGGGUUAGGGUUUAGGGUUUAGUGUUAGGGUAUUAGGGUUAGAGGGUUAGAUGGUUUAGCGUUUAAGUUUAGGGUUUAGGGGUUGGGGUUAAGGGUGUUAGUGUUUAGGGUUUUGGCAUUUAGGAUGUUAGGGUUGAAUGUGUUAGGGCUAAGGGUGUUAGGGUUUUGUGUGUUAGGGUUUUAAGUGUUAGGGUUUACAGUUUAGGAUUAGGCUUAGACCCAUUCUUAGGUUUAGGGCUAGGGAUUUGAGGUUUAGGGUUUGGCGUUGGGUUUGGGGGUUGGGGUUAGGUUUAGGGCUAGGAUUAGAGGGCUAGGGUUAGAGGGUUAGAGUUUCAGGUUAGCGUUAGAGGGUUAGGGUUCGAGUGUUAGGGUUAGGGUUAGGGUUAGGGUUGUUAAGGUUAGGGUGGUUAGGGGUUAGGUGUUAGGAUUUAGGGUUUAGGGUAUAGGGGUUAGAGUUUGGGUUAGGGUUAGAGUUUAGGGCCUUGGGGGUUAGGACCUAAGGGCUUAGGGCCUUAGGGGCUUUGGGGCUUAGGGCUUAGGGGCUAGAGUUAGAGGGCUAAGGCCAGAGGGCCAGGGUUAUGGUUUGAUUCCUGGUUGGCAAUUUUUUUCCUUCAAUAUUUUGUAUAAGUCAUCCCAUUGCCUUCUUGCCUCCAUGAUUUCUGCUGAGUAGUCCAAGUUUAUUAUUAUUUACUCUCCUUUUUUGGUGACUUCCUUUAUCCCUAGCCUCUCUUAAAAUUCUCUUUAUGUUUGAUUUUGGCAAGUUUGAUUAUUAUAUGUCUCGGUCACUUUCUUUUGAGAUCACCUUAUGUGGAAUUUGAUGAGCAUCUUUCAUGAUAUCAGGGAAGUUUUCUGCCAACAAAUCUUCAACAGUUCCCUGUGUAUUUUCUGUUAGCCCUCCCUGUUCUGGUACUGCAAUCACUCAUAGUUAUUUCUCUUGAUAAAGUCCCACAUGAUUCUUUGGAUUUCUUCAUUUAAAAUUCUUUUAUCUGGUUUCUUUUCAAAUAUAUUGGUCCCAAUAGUUUUAUCUUCUAUCUCAGUAAUUCUGCCUUCCAGUUCUUCAGUUGUGCUCUUCUUACUUUCUAUCGAGUUUUCUAACUCUGUAAUUUUAUUGUUAAUCUUCUGAAUUUCUGAUUGCAAUCUCUCUAUGGUUUCUUGCAGCUUAUUAAAUUUUUAAUUAUGUGCUUGAGUAACCUUUUUAAUUUCUUCAGCUGCUUUAUCUUUGUGUUCCUUGGCUUGUUCUGUAUUUUGCCUCAUUUCCUUCCUGAUAUCUUUGAGAGCUCUGUAUAUUAAUCUUUUGUAUUCUGUAUCCGGUAAUUCCAGGAUUACACCUUCAUCGAGAAGAUUCCUUGAGUCUUAGUUCUGAGAGCUUGUUGAAGCAAUCAUGGGUCAGCUUCUUUUUUUUUUAUUUUAAUAAUUUUUAUUGUAUUUUAAGUGAAAGUUUACAAAUCAAGCCAGUCUCUCACAUAAAAACUUAUACACAACUUGUUACAUAUUCCCAAUUACUUUCCCCCCAAUGGGACAGCCCACUCCCUCCUUCCACUCUUUCUUUCCGUGACCAUUUUGCCAGUUUCUAAGCCCCUCUACCCACCCAUCUCCCUUCCAGGCAGGAGAUGCCAACAUUGUCUCAAGUGUCCACCCAAACCAAGUAGCUCAUGCCUCACCAGCAUCCCUCUCCAACCCGUUGUCUAGUCCAACCCAUGUCUGAUGAACUGGCUUUGGGGAUGGUUCCCGUAGUGGGUAAACGGAAGGUGUGGGGGCCAUGAUCACUGGGGUCCUUCCAGUCUCAGUCAGACCAUUAAGUCUGGUCUUUUUAUGAGAAUUUGGGGUCUGCAUCCCACUGUUCUGCUCCCUCAAGGGAUCUCUGUUAUGUUCCCCGUCAGGGCAGUCAUUGGUUGUGGCCCGGCACUGUCUAGUUCUUCUGAUCUCAGGAUGAUGUAGUCUCUAGUUCAUGUAGUCCUUUCUGUCUCUUGGGCUCGUUAUUAUCUUAUGUUCUUGGUGUUCUCCAUUCUCCCUUGAUCCAGGUGGGUUGAGAAUCAUUGAUGCAUCUGAGAUGGCUGCUUGCUAGCAUUUAAGAUCCCAGAUGCCACUCUUCAAAGUGGGAUGCAGAAUGUUUUCUUAAUAGAUUUUAUUAUGCCAGUUGACUUAGAUGUCCCCUAAAACCAUGGUCCCCAAACCCCUGCCCCUGCUUUGCUGACCUUCGAAGCAUUCAGUUUAUUCAGGAAACUUCUUUGCUUUGGUUUAGUCCAGUUGUGCUGACCUCCACUGUGUUGAGUGUUGUUCUUCCAUUCACCGAAAGUAGUUCUUGUCUAUCUCUUUAGUAAAUACCCCUCUCCUACCCUCCCUCCCUCCCCCCCUCAUAACAACAAAGGAAUAUGUUCUUCUCAGUUUAAACUAUUUCUCAAGAUCUUAUAAUAGUGGUCUUAUACAAUAUUUGACCUUUUGCUACUAAUUUCACUCAGCAUAAUGCCUUCCAGGUUUCUCCACGUUAUGAAGUGUUUCACAGAUUCGUCACUGUUCUUUGUUGAUGUGCAGUGUUCCAUUGUGUGAAUAUACCAUAAUUUAUUUAUCCAUUCAUCCAUUGAUGGGCACCUUGGUUGGUUCCAUCUUUUUGCUAUUGUAAACAGUGCUGCAGUAAACAUAGAUGUGCAUAUAUCUAUUUGUGUAAAGGCUCUUAUUUCUCUAGGAUAUAUUCCGAGGAGUGGGAUUGCUGGGUUGUAUGGUAGUUCUAUUUCUAGCUUUUUAAGGAAGCACCAAAUUGAUUUCCAACGUGGUUGUAUACCAUUUUACAUUCCCACCAGCAGAGUAUAAGUGUUCCAGUCUCUCCACAGCCUCUCCAACAUUUAUUAUUUUGUGUGUUUUGGAUUAAUGCCAGCCUUGUUGGAGUGAGAUGGAAUCUCAUUGUAGUUUUGAUUUGCAUUUCUCUAAUGGCUAAUGAUCGAGAGCAUUUCCUUAUGUAUCUGUUAGCUGCCUGAAUGUCUUCUUUAGUGAAGUGUCUGUUCAUAUCCUUUGCCCAUUUUUUAAUUGGGGUGUUUGUCUUUUUGUGGUUGAGUUUUAGCAGAGUCAUGUAGGUUUUAGAGAUCAGGCACCGGGUGGAGAUGUCUUAGCUGAAAACUUUUUCCCAGUCUGUAGGUGGUCUUUUUACUCUUUUGGUGAAGUCUUUAGAUGAGCAUAGGUGUUUGAUUUUUAGGAGCUCCCAGUUAUCUGGUUUCUCUUCAUCAUUUUUGGUAAUGUUUUGUAUUCUGUUUAUGCCAUGUAUUAGGUCUCCUGAUGUCCCUAUUUUUUCUUCCAUGAUCUUUAUCGUUUUAGAUUUUAUGUUUAGGUCUUUGAUCCAUUUGGAGUUAGUUUUUGUGCAUGGUGUGUGGUAGGGGUCCUGUUUCAUUUUUUGGAGGUGGCUAUACAGUUACGCCAGCACCUUUUGUUAAAAAGACUAUCUUCUCCCCAAUUAACUGACACUGGGCCUUUGGCAAAUAUCAGCUGCUCAUAUGUGGAUGGAUUUAUAUCUGGAUUCUCAAUAUUGUUCCAUUGGUCUAUGUGUCUGUUGCUGUACCAGUACCAGGCUGUUUUGACUACUGUGACAGUAUAAUUUGUUCUAAUAUCAGGCAGAGUGAGUCCUCCCACUUUGUUCUUUUUUAGUAAUGCUUUACUUAUCCGCGACUUCUUUCCCUUCCAUAUGAAGUUGGUGAUUUGUUUCUCCAUCUGUUUAAAAAGUGUCAUUGGAAUUUGGAUCGGAAGUGCAUUGUAUCUAUAGAUGGCUUUUGAUAGAAUGGACAAUUUUACAAUGUUGUCUUCCUAUCCACGAGCAAGAUAUGUUUUUCCAAUUACGUAGGUCCCUUUUGGUUUUUUUGCAGUAGUACCUUGUAGUUUUCUUGGUAUAGCUCUUUUACAUUUUUGGUAAGGUUUAUUCCUAAGUAUUUUAUCUUCUUGGGGGCUGCUGUGAAUGGUAUUCAUUUGAUGAUUUCCUCUUCAAUGUUCUUUUUGUUGAUAUAGAGGAAUCCAACUGAUUUUGUGUGUUUGUAUUGUAAUCUGAAACUUUGCUGAACCCUUCUAUUAGUUUUCUUGAGGAUUCCUCAGGGUUUUCUGUGUAUAAGAUAAUGUCUUUGGAAAUAGAGAUAAUUUUAUUUCUUCCUUACCAAUCUGGAUGCCCUUUAUUUCUUUGUCUAGCCCAGUUGCUCUGGCUAGGACCUCUAGCACAAUGCUGAAUAAGAGCAGUGAUAAAGGGGAUCCUUGUCUGUUUCCCGUUCUCAAGGGAAAUGCUUUCAGGCUCUCUCCAUUUAGGAUGAUGCUGGGUAUUGGCUUUGUAUCAAUACCCGUUAUUACGUUGAGGAAUUUUCCUUCUAUUCCUAUUUUGCUGAGAGUUUUUAUCAUGAGUGGGUGUUGGACUUUGUCAAAUGCCUUUUCUGUAUCAAUUGAUAAAAUUAUGUGGUUCUUGUCCUUUUUUUAUGUGGUGGAUUACAUCAAUUGUUUUUCUAAUAUUGAACCAACCUUGCAUACCUGGUAUAAAUCCUACUUGGUUAUGGUGGAUUAUUUUUUUGAUAUGUUGUUGAAUUCUACUGGCUCGAAUUUUGUUGAGGAUUUUUGCAUCUAUGUUCAUGAGGGAUAUAGGUCUGUAAUUUUCUUUUUUUGUGUUGUCUUUAGCUGGUUUUGGUAUCAGGGUUAUGCUGGCUUCAUAGAAGGAGUUAGGUAGUAUUCCGUCCUUUUCUAUGCUUUGAAAUACCUUCAGUAGUAGUGGUAAGUCUUCCCUGAAAGUUUGGUAGAACUUUGCAGUGAAGCCAUCAGGGCCAGGGCUUUUUUUUUGUUGGGAGUGUUUUGAUUACCUUUUCAAUCUCUUUUUUUGUUAUGGGUCUAUUUAGUUGUUCUACUUCAGUUUGUGUUAGUUUAGGUAGGUAGUGUGUUUCUAGAAAUUCAUCCAUUUUUUCUAGGUUUUCAAAUUUGUUAGAAUACAAUUUUUUGUAGUAAUCUGAUAUGAUUGUUUUAAUUUCAGUUGGAUCUGUUGUGAUAUGGCCCAUCCCAUUUCUUAUUCAGAUUAUUGGUUUCUUUUCCUGUAUUUCUUUAGUCAGUCUGGCCAAUGGUUUAUCAAUUUUGUUAAUUUUUUCAAAGAAGCAGUUUUUGGCCUUGUUAACUCUUUCAAUUGUUUUUCUAUUCUCUAAUUCAUUUAAUUUUGAUGUAGUUUUUAUUUUUUGCUUUCUUUUGGUGCCUGACAGUUCCUUUUGUUGCUCUCUUUCUGUUUGUUCAAGUUGUAGGGAGAGUUCUUUCAUUUUGGCUCUUCUUUAAUAUGUGUGCCUUUAUUGAUAUAAAUUGACCUCUGAGCACUGCUUUCACCAUGUCCCAAAGGUUUUCAUAGGAAGUGUUUUCAGUCUUGUUGAAUUCUGUGAAUUUCUUUAUUCCCUCCUUAAGGUCUUCCAUAACCCAGUCUUUUUUGAGCAGGGUAUUGUGCAGUUUCCAAGCAUUUGAUUUCUUUUCCCUGGUUUUUCUGUUAUUGAUUUUUACUUUUAUGGUCUUUCAUUCAGAGAAGAUGUUUUGUAAUAUUUCAAUGUUUUGGGUUCUGCAAAGGCUUGUUUUAUGACCUAAUAUGUGAUCUAUUCUAGAGAAUGUUUCAUGUGCACUAGAAAAGAAAUUAUAGUUUGCAGCUGUUGUGUGGAGUGUUCUGUAUAAGUCUAUGAAGUGAAGUUGUUUAAUUGUAGCAAUUAGAUCUUCCGUGUCUCUAUUGAGCUUCUUACUGCAUUUCCUAUCCUUCACCGAGAGUGUUGUGUUGAAGUCUCCUGCUAUAAUUGUGGAGGUGUCUAUCUCACUUUUUAAUUCUGUUAACAUUUGUUUUAUGAAUGUUGCGGCCCUAUCAUCAUUGGGUGCAUAAAUAUUUAAUACAGUUAUAUGUACCUGGUAAAUUGUCCCUUUAAUCUUUAUGUAGUGUCCUUCUUUAUCCUUUGUGGUGGAUUUAAAUUGAAACUCUAUUUUGUGGGAAAUUAAUAUUGCCUCUCCUGCUCUUUUUUGAUUGUUGUUUGCUUGAUAUAUUUUUAUCCAUCCUUUCAGUUUUGGUUUAUUUGUGUCUCUUAACUCUAAAGCGUGUCUCUUUUAGGAAGCAUACAGACUGAUCGUGUUUUUUUAUCCAGUCUGCAACUUUCUGUCUCUUUAUUGGUGAAUUUAGUCCAUUUACAUUAAGUGUAAUUAUAGACAAGUAUGAGUUUAGUGCUGUCAUUUUGAUGCCUGUUUUUGACAAUUUCAUUUUCCAUUUACUUUUUUGUGCUGAGUUUUUCUUUGUAGAAUGUGUGUUCCUCCUUUUUAUAGUAGUUGAAUUUAUUUUGGUGAGUCGUUAUGUUUAUCUUGGUUUUUAUUUUGAAGUAUGGAAUUGUUAGACCUUGUUGUGGUUAUCUUAAUAUUUACCCUGGUUUGAGUAAGUAAAAACCUAAGUUGUUUCGCCCUGUAUCGCCUUGGUUUCCUCUCCAUAUGUAAUUUCUAAGCCUCCUGUAUUUAGUCCCUCUUUUUUCACUAUCGUAAUCUUUUACAUAAUCACAUCAAUGAUUCCCUGUUUUGAGCAAUUUUUUAAUUAAUCUUAUUUUGUUUUUGUGAUUUCCCUAUCUGGGUUGAUAUCAGGAUGUUUUGUUCUGUGACCUUGUGUUGUGUUGGUAUCUGAUAUUAUUGAUUUUCUGACCAAAGAAUUUCCUUUAGUAAUUCUUGCAGUUUUGGUUUGGUUUUUGCAAAUUCUCUAAGCUUGUGUUUAUCUGUAAAUAUCUUAAUUUCACCUUCAUGUUUUACAGUUUUGCUGGAUAUAUGAUUGUUCGCUGACAGUUUUUCCUCUUUCAGUGCUCUAUAUAUGUUAUCCCAUUGUCUUCUUGCCUGCAUGAUUUCUGCCGAGUAGUGCAAACUUAUUGAUUCUCCUUUGUAGGUAACUUUUCGUUUAUCCUUGGGUGCUUUUGAAAUUUCUCUUUAUCUUAGGUUUUGGCAGGUUUGAUGAUAUGUCUUCGUGAUUUUCUUUUGGGAUCUAUUUUGUAUGAGGUUCGAUGAGCAUCUUGGGUAGAUAUCUUUUCAUCUUUUACAAUGCCAGGGAAUUUUUCUGCCAUCAGAUCUUCCACUGUUCUCUCUGUAUUUUCUGUUAUCCCUCCCUGUUCUGGAACUCGAAUCACACGCAAAUUAUUCUUGAUAGAGUCCCCCAUGAUUCUUAGGGUUUCUUCAUAGUUUUAAAUUCUAUUUGAUUUUUCUUCAACUAUAUUUGUGUCAAUUGCCUUAUCCUCCAGCUCCCCCACUCUGCAUUCCAGUUCCUUGAUUCUGCUCCUGUGACUUCCUAUUGAGUUGUCUGAAUCUGUGACUUUAUUGUUAAUCUUUUGGAUUUCUGAAUGCUGUCUCUCUAUGGAUUCUUACAGCUUAUUAAUUUUUUCACUAUGUUGUUGAAUAAUCUUUUGGAUAUCUUCAACUGCUUUAUCCGCGUAUUCCUUGGUGUUUUCUGUAGAUUGCCUUAUUUCAUUUGUGAGGUCAUUCCUGAUGUCUUGAAGCAUUCUGUAUAUAAUUUUUUUAUAUUCUACAUUUGGCAAUUCUAGGAAUGUAUCUACAUCUGGGAAUGAUUUUGAUUCUUUGAUUUGGGGGUUUGUAGAAGGAAUCAUGGUCUGCUUCUUCAUGUGAUUUGAUGUCGACUGCUGUCUCUGAGCCAUUUAUAAGAUAUUGUAAUAUUUUAUAUUUGCUCACUGAGUCUUAUCUUCUUAUUUUGUUUUGUUACAAUACACCCAGAUGGGCUACUAGAUUGUGGUAUCGUGAUUGAUGUAGCUUUUGAAUCACUUACGUCCUGUUACCAGCUUGCCUGAGCUGUUACCAGGUAUAUAAGUGUAUGAGUCCAUUCACUAUUCUUGAAUACAAUCAGCUCAGGUGUCCUGAUAGCUGGUCACCUAGUGUGUGGUGUAGGCUCUCACCUAUUAUCUUAGAGGAGUAGUGGUGAUGGUUGUAUGCACCAGUUUCUAUUAGUGGCAGGGGGUCACAUUUCAAGGAGGGCAGGAUGCUGACAGCCUUCCUUCAAGUGUCAGUGAGGUAGGUGUGGCUCUAUUCUCUAGAGCACUCUGGUGGGUGGGCUUUGCAGCUGUAUCUUAGGCACCCAAUGCUUGGGUAGGCGUCACUAUUCUCAGACCCCUCUAGCAGGUGGCUAGGUGAUGUGGGUGGAGUCUCAGCCCUCAGUUCGCUGGUGUGGAUCAGCGAGGGCUCUGUUUAAUAGGUAGAGAGGUAUCUGACCUCCAAAACUUGCCUUUCCACUGCUGAGCUAAAACAAUUAUGGUCAGAUCUCUAUCAGAAUUGCCUUUACAUUGUAAUAGCCACCUAGUUACCUGUAGGGUGAAAGCCAAAGACUAUGGGUCUGUUAAUGCCUGGAUGGAGCUGAUUCUGUACUGUUAUUUCAGUUUAGGGAAGUCAGGGAAGGAUUUUUUCUUUGAUUGUUAAAUGCUGCUUUUCUCAGGCCAGGAGAAUGGGUUAGAAAAGAAAGAAGAAAAAAAAUUCAGCAGUGCACUUCACUCUCUGGCACAGAGGAUUCCAAUGUUAAUGAAGCUGGCUGGGGCAAUGAGGGGUGGAAUCAGAUAUAUAGAAGAGAGUAGCCUGGCAAAAUAUACAAAGUUACUUAUGUUGUUUGGUGAGAACUGUUUUUUCUGAGAUUCCAGAGCAUUGUGUCGCUCGUGUGUGCUGGCUGGAUCCCUGCUGAGACUGUCCCAGAGGGUUAGGGCUGCAUCCAUGCUCACACUGUCUCAGGAAGCCACAAUCGGCUCCCCCACACUUAGUCCAAAGCCCAGCACCAAGGUUUCCUUUCUGGGACGCUGCACUCCAGGCUCCAAAACCAGUCGCUGCUUCCCUAUAGUUUUUCGUUUCCCUGUCAGCCGCGUCUGUGUGGAGCCUGCGUGUGCUGCCUGGGUCCCCUCUGAGGUUGGUCCUGAGGGUUAGGCCUAUAUCUGUUCUUCCCUGUCUCAGUAAACCACAAUCAGCCCCACCACUCUGACACCAGGAAACCGCGAGGGCUCAAGGCUGCGGCGUGGGACACUGGCUCUGGAAGCGGUCCCUGCUGCAGCGUGGCUUUCGCUCCCCCGUCACUCAGGUCAACUCCUUAGUUCUGUGUUUGAUGGUCAGGGUUUGUAGAUUGUCCUUUAUGUAAUCAGUUCACUUGUUUUUUCGAGUCUUUGUUUCAAGAAGUAUAAGCGGAAUCUUCUACCUAGUCAGCCAUCUUGGUCCUGCCCCCGUGUCUGCCUCUUUAUGUGAUUUGGUAUUGACUGUUGUCUCUGAGCAAUCUAUAAGUUAUUGUAUUAGUUUAUUUUAUGCUUGCUUUUUGUAUCCUAGCUUCUUGCUUUGUUUAGUUUUGGUAUUCCCAAAUAAGCUGCUUGAGUGCGCUAGGUUGAUUAUUUUCACCUUUGAAGCUCUAAUGUACUAUCACCAGAUGGCUAGCACUGUUACCAGGUAUAUGAGCCUAGGAGUUCAUUUACUUUUCUUGUAUGCAUUCAACUCAGGUGCCCAGGUAGUUGGUCAUAAAGUGUGUGGUACAGGCUCUGUCCUACCGUCUUAGAGGGGCAGGGGUUAUUGGUGUAGGCAGAAGUAUCUGGCUGCAGUAGGGGGUCAGGCUCUGAUCAAGGCAGGGGUCUGACAGCUGUCCUCUGAGUGUCUGUGAGGAAAGUGCAUCCCUGUUCUGUAGAGCACACGGGUGGGUUCUGCAGAAGGGCGAUGGGUACCCAAUGCUUUUGGUUGUAAGUUCUGGGAGGUACUACUUACCCUUGGAGCCCUGUCACAGGAGGCUAGGUAUUGUGGGUGGAGCCACCAGUCCUUAGGCCCCUGAUGUGGGUAGGUGAAGACGCCGUUUAAUAGGCAAAGCAGUGUCAAACAUCAAACACCCAUCUUUCCACCGUUCAGCUGAAACAGUUGCAGUCUGGCGACAAGGGCCUAUUCUCCUGAAAUGGGCCCACACAGGUCCAUGCUGGGGUGAAAGGUAUUCAAAGCCCAUGGACUGUUUGUGCCUGAACAAGAGCUGCUUCUGUCCUGAGCUCCCCAGCUUAAUUGAGCUGGCAGAUUAUCUUUCCCCCAGUUGUGAACUUAUACCUUCUUCAAGGAUGGAAAAAUGGCUCAGAGUGGUACCAGGGCCUAUCUCAGGCCCAGGGAAGUUGACAGCCACUGAAGCCGGCUUGGGGGCUGGGGGCGUGGUAAAAUAAACACAAGUAAUUAGCUUUUGCUGAGAGUGCCGUUCUUCUCUUGUUCUGGAGGUGUGAGUAGUCUGUGCAACUUGCUGUCCUUCCCUGAGCUAAACGCCUCUGGAACACUACUGCCAGCCCCGCUGCAGUCGCUCCAGGGAACGGUGCCUGAGGGUUCCUGGCUGUUCAGGUCCAGUAACUCCUCUCCACUUCUGAAUAGUCUCUCCCUCCCCCUGCCGCUGAGUCCAUUUUCUAACUUUACCUUUGAUGUUCAGGGCUCCUAGCUUGUCAUAAAUAUAAUCGCUUCACUUGUUUUUUCUGGUCUUUUUUGUAAGAGGGAUCACUGGUGGCGUCUCAAUACUCAAAACUUCAUCAUUUCUUCCUUUCACUUUAGCUACUCGACAUUCAAGAGCAACGUUCAGAGUCUCUUCCGACAUCCGUUUUGGUCUUUUCUUUCUUUCCUGUCUUUUAAAGGAUCUCUUGCUUUCCUCAUGUGUGAUGUCCUUGAUGUCAUUCCACAACUCGUCUGGUCUUCAGUCGUUAGUGUUCAACACGUAAAAUGUGUUCUUGAGGUGGUCUCUAAAUACAGGUGAGAUAUACUCAAGGUCAUAUUUUGGCCCCUUUUGACUUAUUCUAAUUUUCUUCCGUUUCAACUUGAACUCCCAUAUGAGCAAUUGACAGUCUGUUUCACAAUCGAUCCCUGGCCUUGUUCUGACUGAUGAUAUGAGUUUUCCCAUCUUCUCUUUCCACAGAUGUAGUCAGUUUGAUUCCUGUGUAUUCCAUCUGGUAAAGUCCACGUGUAUAGCUGCCGUUUAUGUUGGUGAAAAAAAAUAUUUGCAGUGGAUGAGUCACUGGUCUUGCAAAAUUCUUUCAUGAGAUUUCUGGCGUCAUUUAUUUCAGUGAUGCUGUAUUUUCCAACUACUUUUCCUUCUUUGUUUCCAACUUUAACAUUCUAAUGACCAGUAAUUAUCAAUGCAUCUUGAUUGCAUCUUUGAUCAAUUUCAGGCUGCAGAAGUUGUUUAAAAUCUUCAAUUUCUUUAUCUUUGGCAUUAGUGGUUGGUGCAUAAAUUUGAAUAGUCAUAUAAACUAGUCUUCCUUGUAAGUGUAUGGAUUUUAGCCUAUCAGUGACAACAUUGUACUUCAGGCUAGAUCUUGAAAUGUUCUCUUUGAUGAUAUGUAACGUCAUUCUUUUGACUCUGGUGGAAUAUCCAUGUUUGUAAGACUGCUCACAGACUGUUUUACCAGAGAGUUUUCUGGUACUGCAACAUCUACCACUAAUCUCUGUGAUCCCUUUGAAUUGGCAAAAUAAGAAUAGUGCUAUAGAUUUCUUCCAAAUACAGAAAACAUAAGUAUGAAAAUGUUCUUGCUGUUGAUUAUAUUCUUUACCAAUCUGUUUGUAUGGGAUUUUUGGUACUUCACUUGAAAAAUGAGUCCAAGGUACUGUGAUGUGAUUGUUUACUUUGUGUGGCCUUUCUAGCCAUGGUCUUAUAACAUCCACCCUGGUGCUUGGGCAGGACUGUGUGAUAGGGUAAUUGUGGCUCACCAAGAGGAUUGUUUAUUUUGCCUUCAAAGAGAACCAGUUCCAGAGCAAAGAGGAGGAUUCAACUCCCAUCAAGGAAGAACAGCCAAGAGCCGAGCGUAUAUUAUGGACCUGAGAUCCCUGCACUGAGAAGCUCCUAGAAGCAGGAGACUGAGAUAGAGAGAGGAAGCUGUAACCCUGAAGAUGCUUAAAUACAGACCAGAAGAGGAGUUUGGGGCUUGACACCUGACAUCUUAACACCAGUUCCUGUUUCUUGAGGAAGGAAGAGGUAAAAUAAAUCAGCGUUUGCUGUUUCCUUCUCCAUCCCCGGAAGUCCUGAUGAAGACCCUCUCAGGUAAGGAUUGACAGGGAGUGGCUUGGUUUACUAUUCAACUUUGUCCUUCAGUAACUUUGUUUAUGUCCUGCAUGUAAACUGUUGUGCAUUGAGAAGCAUUCUAAUUCUUGUGCAGAAGGACUAGACCUCCUGCAGAAUGACUAUAUUGUGCCUCCCUCGGGCACCCCUGUCUGCGCAGCACCCCCCAACGCCAACUGCCCAACCGCCUCUCUCCUGGCAUUCUGCUUCUAGAAGCAUGUUCUUUUGAUGCAGAGAUGCAGCACACACAGAAUCCCAGCUGGAUUACAGACUUGAACCUGAAGACCUUAUGCAGAAUGACAAUUUAUGAACCACUAAGCUCAGUACUAAAGCAGCUUCAACUUGAACGUGAAUAUGAGCAACUGAUCAUCUGUUCUGCAGUCAGCCCCUGCCCUGAUUCUGACUCAUGAUAUUGACCAAGUGAAGAGUGAUUCAGAGAAAAACAUGGAUAGAGUGUGACCUAAUUUCCAUAAAAACAAACAAAUGAAUGUACUUACAUGUGUCCCGGCAAAAAGAAGUGUGUAAAAGGGUACAUAUGUAUCUUUGGACACUGGACACUUCAGGGGAGCAGGUAUAAUAUACUUAUGUGGGGAUGGCUCUUAUUAUAACUUCUAUAUACAAAUCUCUAUUGUUAAAUGUGUUAUAAGAAUGUAAAAGCUUUUAAAGUUUAAUAACAUCAUACGUGUAUGUGUGUGUAUUUGAAACUUUUUUUCUUUUGACUAUUUUAUAUAUGUGUUUUUUAGUUAUCUAGUUUUUUUUUAGUGUGGCUAUAGCAGAGAUACCAAAAGUGGAUGGCUUUAACAAACAGAAACUUAUUCUCUCACAGUUUAAGAAGCAACAAGUUUGAAGUCAGGGCACCAGGUCUAGGAGAAAGCUCUCUCUCUUUGUGGCUCUGGGGGAAGGUCCUUGUCAUCUAUCUUCCCCUGGCCUAGGAAAUUCUCAGCGCGUGGACACUGGGUCAAAAAGACGUGCUCCACUCCAGGCACUUCUUCCUUGGUGGUAUGAGGUCCCUCUCAUUUCCGCUCACUCUUCUCUUUGUAUCUCAAAAGAGACUGACUCAAGACUCACCCUAAUCCUGUAGAUUGUGUCCUCCCUCAUUAACCUAACUGCCUCUAAUCCCGCCUUAUUUACAUCACAGAGGUUAGAAUUUACAACACAUAAGUAAUCACAUCAGAUCACAAAAUGCAGGACAACCACACAAUACUGGGAAUCAUGGUCUGGCCAGGUUGGCACACGUUUUGGGGGACACUAUUCAAUCCAUAACAACAGAGAAAACACUGUCUUCAAUGCCAGAUUCAGAGACUUUUAUCAAUCUAUGAAGGGCAAACACAGAAAUUGAACAAAAUUCAGACCAGCGAAUUAUUGCUUGCUCUUGUAACUAAUGACUUCUUCUGGUCUCUGUACCUGGAAAUGGCCAAAAAGAAUUCUGUGAGGAUUAAUUCAGUUAUUGCUAAAACAUCUACUGCAUUUACAUGUCUACAGAUAAGGAAUAAUGCUGGACACCAUGUGUGAUUCAUUAAGUAACACAGGGACUAUUAGACUGUUGUUCUCCUUCUCUGAUAUGCCACUAUCACCUUCUCCCCUUGUUGCUCUCCUGAAAAACCCACACUUGUAUAUUCUAGGCUUUUUUCCAGGAUUGAAUUUGCAGGAAGUUGAAGAUACAUCUUUGAAAGAUAAAGAAGACUUUGGCCACAUUGUCUUUAGACAGUCGAACUUCCCAGCCAGCCUCUGUGCAGGAUGGGAAUUCACAAUCCCUCCUACUCAGUACCUCUGAGCAGGACGGGAUUUCUGUUUCAUUAUCAGGAGACUGUGGAA